UGUCAUGUGGGGCCGCACCUACACGCGGGCCCGCGACGCCAGGAGGGCUGAGGCUAGGGCGUUUAAGGAAGGCGCCAGCAGCAGCACUACCAAGGAAGGUCCAUCCAAGGAAAGUGGCUAGAUUAGUGGCCAAAUUGAUAGGCCUUAAUUAGAGGGGAGUUGGUUUCCAAAUAAGUCAUUUCCUAAAUUAGUGUUUCCAAAUAAGUCAUUUCCUAAAUUAGAAGUUACCUAGUUGGUCGGGCCAGUGGCCUAUUUAUAUGGAACCAUGAGGCAGUGAAAGGAAUAAGAAAUACAUCAGCUUUAUCUCCCAUCUCCCUACACUCUCUCUAAAGCCUACGGCUGAGGAUUACCUCGCCGGAGAAGACGGACAGCGGGUACGAGUUACGUAGCCGCGGUCCAGCUGCUCGAGGGGUUAACGCCCUUGACAACCUGGUAUCACGAUCCCGGCGAUCCUCUUCCCAGUCCACCACUACGCCAGCCGCAGCACCAACAUCACCGACGUCCUCUGUGGCGUCUUGCGUUCCAGCCAUGGGCGAUUCCAACGACUUCAAGGCCUUUGCCGAGGCUCUCAAGUCCCUGCAGGCGUCCGUCGCGGCCAACGCCCAAGCCAUCGCCAGCCUCACAGCCGACCGCACGUCCGCCUCCGGCCACAAGAUCGGCUACGGCGAGCACCAUGGGGACCGGCCACCGAGGUUCCAAAAGCUGGACUUUCCCCGGUACGAUGGUAAAACCGAUCCUCUCAUCUUCAUCAACCGCUGCGAAUCCUACUUCCAUCAGCAGCGCAUCAUGGAGGAGGAGAAGGUCUGGAUGGCAUCCUACAACUUGGAGCACGGGGCGCAGAUGUGGUAUAUCCAGGUCCAGACGGACGAGGGUACUCCAUCUUGGCGCAGGUUCAAGGAGUUGCUCAAUCUGCGCUACGGUCCUCCUCUCCGCGCUGCGCCUCUCUUCGAGCUGGCUGAUUGCCGCCGCACGGGGUCUGUCGCGGACUAUCAGGACCGCUUCCAGGCGCUCCUUCCACGUGCAGGACCCCUCGACGAGGCACAACGGGUCCAACUGUUCACGGGGGGUCUCCGUCCCCCGCUCAGCCUUGACGUCCAGGUACACAACCCGCAGUCCUUGGCGGCUGCCAUGAGCCUGGCGCGCCAGCUGGAGCUUCGGGAACAAUAUACAUCGCCGCCUCCCAAGGGCGCCACCCGUGGUCUGCUGCCAACCCCUGCACCGCGACUAGCUCUGCCUGCCCCGCCGGCUGAGAAGGCAGCCACGCCCGCGGUCAUGGCAGAUGGGCGCAAACGCCUAUCCAUGCAGGAGCAAGAGGAGCGCCGUCGGCAAGGCCUCUGCUUCAACUGCAACGAGCGCUACACACGGGGGCACAACCGCGUCUGUACGCGGAUCUUCUACAUCAACGGCGUCGAGUUGGACACCGCCGACGAGUCCGCCACAGGGGAGGACCCCGACACGGAGACACCGGUGUUCUCCCUUCACGCCGUCGCAGGGGUACUCGUCGGCAAUACGGUACAACUGCAGGUGAUCGUCGGCGCCGCUACUUUCGUCGCGCUCAUCGACACAGGCUCCACACACAGCUUCAUCGGGGAAACGGCUGCGCGACGCUCCGGGCUGACCAUCGAGCCGCGGCCUCGACUCACGGCAACGGUGGCCAAUGGGGAGCGUGUGGCCUGCCCGGGCGUUCUUCGCAACGCUCCGAUCGACGUGGGCGGCAUGGUAUUCGGCGUCGACCUCUUCGUAAUGCCCUUAGCGGGAUACGACGUCGUCCUCGGCACGCACUGGAUGGCCACGCUCGGGCCCAUUGUAUGGGACUUCACCGCCCGAACCAUGGCAUUCCAGUGGGAGGGUCGGGACGUCUGCUGGCGCGGUGUAGCACCUCCAUCCACGCCGACUCUCCUAGCCGCCACAACCGACGACACCCUCAUCGACGGGCUGCUACACGCCUUCGCCGAUGUCUUCACCGAGCCGAGCGGACUACCUCCAGCACGCGGCCACGAGCACCACAUCGUCCUCAAGCCAGGCUCCUCCCCGGUGGCGGUGCGACCGUACAGGUACCCGGCGGCGCACAAGGACGAACUUGAGCGGCAGUGCGCCGCCAUGAUCGACCAGGGCAUCGUCCGCCGCAGUGACUCGACGUUCUCUUCCCCGGUCAUCCUUGUCAAGAAGCUGGACGGGUCGUGGCGCUUCUGCGUCGACUACCGCGCGUUGAACGCGCUCACUGUCAAAGACGCGUUUCCGAUUCCGGUCGUCGACGAGCUCCUCGACGAGCUCCAUGGUGCACGCCUCUUCACCAAGCUGGACCUGCGGUCGGGGUAUCACCAAGUGCGGAUGCGGCAGGAGGACGUCCAUAAAACGGCGUUCCGCACCCACGACGGCCUCUACGAGUUCCUGGUGAUGCCGUUCGGGCUGUGCAACGCCCCAGCCACAUUCCAGGCUUUGAUGAAUGACGUCCUGCGCACCUACCUCCGCCGGUUUGUGCUUGUCUUCUUUGACGACAUCUUGAUAUACAGCACCUCAUGGGCGGACCACCUCCGGCACCUCCGCGUCGUCCUCACCACCCUGCGCCAGCACCGACUCUUUGUCAAGAGGUCCAAGUGCUCCUUUGGUGUUGACUCCGUCGCCUACCUCGGCCACGUCAUUUCAGCGGCUGGUGUCGCUAUGGAUCCCGCGAAGGUCCAGGCCAUCCACGACUGGCGCCAACCUCGUUCGGCGCGCGCCGUGCGGGGCUUCCUCGGUCUGGCAGGCUACUAUCGCAAGUUCGUCCACAACUACGGCGCCAUUGCAGCACCCCUCACAGCACUCCUGAAGAAAGAGGGGUUCGUGUGGUCCGACGAGGCAAGCGCCGCUUUUCGUGCCCUCAAAAGGGCAGUGACGACAGCACCGGUGUUGACAUUACCGGACUUCACCAAGCCCUUCAUCGUGGAGUGCGACGCGUCCACCUAUGGCUUCGGGGCGGUGCUCAUACAGGAGGCUCAUCCGCUCGCCUUCUUCAGUCGACCGGUGGCGCCCCGCCAUCGCUCCCUAGCGGCCUAUGAGCGCGAACUCAUCGGGCUCGUGCUUGCCGUACGGCAUUGGAGGCCGUACCUAUGGGGGCGACGCUUCGUCGUCAAGACAGACCACUACAGCCUCAAGUACCUCCUCGAUCAGCGCCUGGCGACCAUUCCACAACAUCAUUGGGUGGGUAAGCUCCUCGGGUUCGACUUCUCCGUCGAGUACAAGUCAGGAGCAACGAACACGGUGGCCGACGCGCUCUCACGCCGCGACACCGAAGAGGACGGCACGGGGACUCUCCAGGCAAUCUCAGCUCCCCGCUUCGACUUCAUCAGCCGCCUCCGACACGCCCAGGCUACUGAGCCCGCUCUGGCUGCCAUCCACGACGAAGUCAGGGCGGGCACACGCACUGAUCCAUGGGCGGUGGUCGACGACAUGGUUCUCUAUGACAGGCGCCUAUACAUCCCACCGGCCUCGCCACUUCUGCAGGAGAUUGUGGCGGCUGUCCAUAACGAUGGACAUGAGGGCGUCCAGCGCACACUACACCGCCUCCGUCGUGACUUCCAUUUUCCCAACAUGCGGAGUCUGGUGCAGGACUUCGUCCGGGCAUGUCCCACUUGUCAGCGGUACAAGUCGGAGCAUCUUCACCCGGCAGGUCUCCUCAUGCCACUACCGAUUCCCACCGUCGUUUGGGCAGACAUCGGCCUCGACUUCAUUGAAGCACUUCCCCGUGUCAACGGGAAGUCGGUGAUCCUCUCCGUCGUCGACCGCUUCAGCAAGUAUUGCCACUUCAUCGCCCUCGGCCACCCAUACACCGCCGAGUCGGUGGCGCAGGCCUUCUUCGCCGACAUUGUACGCCUCCAUGGUGUGCCGCAAUCCAUGGUGUCCGACCGCGACCCGGUGUUCACCUCGACGUUCUGGCGUGAGCUCAUGCGGCUCAUGGGCACUAAGCUGCACAUGUCGUCCGCCUUCCACCCACAGUCCGACGGCCAGACGGAAGCGGCCAACCGCGUCAUCAUUAUGUACCUCCGCUGUUUCACAGGCGACCGUCCUCGACAAUGGCUUCGCUGGCUGCCGUGGGCCGAAUACGUGUACAACACGGCAUACCAGUCCUCGCUCCGGGAGACGCCAUUCCGGGUGGUGUAUGGUCGUGACCCGCCCUCCAUCCGCUCUUAUGAGCCUGGUGAAACGAGGGUGGAUGCGGUCGCACGCAACAUGGAGGAACGCGAGGCAUUCCUGGCCGAUGUGCGCUAUCGCCUCGAGCAGGCCCAAGCGGUGCAGAAACGUCACUACGACAAGCAACACCGGCCAGUGACAUAUGCAGUCGGCGACUGGGCACUCCUUCGACUUCGCCAGCGAGCUCCGUCCUCACUGCCACAACAGACAUCGGGCAAACUAAAGCCCCGCUUCCUCGGACCCUACCGCGUCAUCGAGCUCAUCAACAAUGUCGCCGUUCGCCUGGAGCUACCACCACAGGCCCGCAUUCAUGACGUCUUCCACGUGGGCACCCUGAAGAAGUUUGUAGGGGCACCUCCAUCCGCCCCACCGCCCCUACCCGACAUCCAUCAUGGGGCGAUUGUUCCAGAGCCGGCUCGGGUGGAACGCGCUCGCCUGGCACGGGGUGUUCAACAGGUGCUGGUCCAGUGGAGGGGCGAACCAGACACUUCGGCGACCUGGGAGGACCUCGACAAGUUUCGCGCUACAUACCCAGAUUUUCAGCUCGAGGACGAGCUGGACCUCGAGGGGGGGAGAGAUGUCAUGUGGGGCCGCACCUACACGCGGGCCCGCGACGCCAGGAGGGCUGAGGCUAGGGCGUUUAAGGAAGGCGCCAGCAGCAGCACUACCAAGGAAGGUCCAUCCAAGGAAAGUGGCUAGAUUAGUGGCCAAAUUGAUAGGCCUUAAUUAGAGGGGAGUUGGUUUCCAAAUAAGUCAUUUCCUAAAUUAGUGUUUCCAAAUAAGUCAUUUCCUAAAUUAGAAGUUACCUAGUUGGUCGGGCCAGUGGCCUAUUUAUAUGGAACCAUGAGGCAGUGAAAGGAAUAAGAAAUACAUCAGCUUUAUCUCCCAUCUCCCUACACUCUCUCUAAAGCCUACGGCUGAGGAUUACCUCGCCGGAGAAGACGGACAGCGGGUACGAGUUACGUAGCCGCGGUCCAGCUGCUCGAGGGGUUAACGCCCUUGAC
rnacentral:lncRNA from 1 species